rnacentral:rRNA from 1 species
GAUGAACGCUGGCGGCGUGCCUAAUACAUGCAAGUCGAACGGACAGGCGCUGCGUUUGCUGGGCGGACGUUAGCGGAACAGGGGUGUAAAACACGAGUAUACCCUCCCUGUAUGUGGGGGAAAAUUACGGGAAACGGGCGCUAAUCCCGGAGAAGAUCCUGCUGCGCAGUGUUGGAUAGAAAAAGUCGGCGGUUGGGGCUGGACUCGCGGGUUAUCCGCUUGUUUGGGGGGUUGUGGCUUACCAAGCUUUUGACGGGUAGCCGGCCUGGGAGAGUGACCGGCCACAUUGGGACUGAGAGACGGACCAGACUCCUACGGGAGGCAGCAGUGGGGAAUAUUGCACAAUGGGCGGAAGCCUGAUGCAGCAACGCCGCGUGCGGGAUGACGGCCUUCGGGUUGUAAACCGCUUUCGCCUGUGACGAAGCGUGAGUGACGGUAAUGGGUAAAGAAGCACCGGCUAACUACGUG